UACGUAGGGACCGAGCGUUGUCCGGAUUCAUUGGGCGUAAAGAGCUCGUAGGCGGCUGCUCAAGUCGAAUGUGAAAACUCGAGGCUCAACCUCGAGCCUGCAUUCGAUACUGGGCGGCUAGAGUCUGGUAGGGGGAUCUGGAAUUCCUGGUGUAGCGGUGGAAUGCGCAGAUAUCAGGGGGAACACCGGUGGCGAAGGCGGGAUCCUGGGCCAGUACUGACGCUGAGAAGCGAGAGCAUGGGGAGCGAACAGG
rnacentral:rRNA from 1 species